UUUUAAAGGCACUUUGCAUGUAAGUACUCAUGAAACAACACUGUUAUUCUCACACAGCAGGCGUAAGCAGAAGAAACAGAGACAUAACAACUUAGCAAUGCAAAAUGAGCUCCAGGCGUCUGGUAGGCCAAAAAGAAGCUAUCAAAUUAUCUUCACCUUCAGCCCCUGCAGACUGGGACCAAGAGUGGUGGAAGAUCUGUUGACAAACUCCCUCACACAACCAGUGCUGCAAAAAGCUGUCAAUGAGGACAAUUUUCUUCAUGGGUCUGGACCCAGUUUAAAUUUCCUGGAAGUCACAGUGCCGAAGGAGAAAUGUUCCUCCCUUAUCAUGGACUGUGAAGUAAGCAUGGUUUAUUGGGAGCUGUGGAGACCAAGCUAGU